UUAGAUUUCUUUCUUGAAAAAAACAGAAGUCUAGCAUAUCUGGGUCCAUAUACCUCUAAAACGUGGCAAUUAAAAAAGGGAAACCUCACUGAAGUGGAGUCAGGAGGCUAGAUAGGGGAGCAUACCAGUCAACAUCAAUUACAGAAGAGCUGUCAAUUACAGACCCCAACAGAACAAUAACCAACAGGAAAGAAUGGUCAAUUAGAGGCAACAGGGAAAAGAUGUAAGUUGCAUCUCAUAAAAAUUUGACUACCACUAGACUCAGCCAAUGAGAAACCAUCCCGGAAUUCUUGCUUUUUCUCCAAAGGACUUUCAACUUUCAUUCAAAACCACCCCUGCCAAUUUCCUCCUCCUUCUCCACAGAACAAUGUUCCUCUCCUUUGUUUAUGGGACUUGCCUAUGGCCUUGCUGUAGCUUGCAUGUCCUGAAUUACAAUUCUGUUAUUUCCAAAUAAACCCAUUUUGCUGGUAAAAUAAUUGAGUUUUAUUUUUAAGAAAAGUGACAUGUGUGUCUCCCACAAUCCUCACCAUUCACAUGCAGGGUGUGUGCAAAGGAAUUUAUUCCCCUGGUAGCAUCUUUCUGGCCCUUCUAAGCAGUUUGAAUUUGGGGCCCCAGUUAACACAAUUGUUCCUCAUCUUCAUUGGUUUAAUAUUUUUAUGAAAUUUUAUAAUCUAUUAAACUGGAUGUUGAACCCACAUUGUUCUCAAUUUCAUUUCAUUAUUUGGCCUUUACUUAUUUUCCCAGGAGGUGAAUAUUGUUGGAAGAAGAACAAAAUGGCAUAUUAAGACUUCCGAUGAGAAGGUGGUAGGGCAUGAAAUAUCACCAUUGUUGUCAGGUCAAAGUGCUACUCUUUGGUUGUACUACACUAAAAGCUUGUAUCUGAACAACAUAAAAUUAUCAUGAUCAUCUUAAAAAGGAAUAUUCCUAAAUUCUUAUUUUAUAAUUGAUAAGAUAGACCAGAUAUAUUUAGAGAUACCACUGCCUAAAGGUGUUUCUAAUAGACUUAUAAAGGACUAUGUGUUUAGUUAACCUUCCAACCCCUUCUGGGGUAGGUUAGUGGGGUCACUUACACAGACUGGUGGCUGGCUUCAAAGCUGGGGUCUGCAGAGUGCCAGGAAUGCAUCCUUCCUCAGUGUCUCUGUCAGUUCACUUCAAUUAGUCCCAUAUUUACUCACUUGUGCUCAUUCACAUUUCAUCUUUGAAGGCUGAGACAGGCUGUCUCCAUCUGUCAUAGGGUUAAAUAACCAUCUCCAAUUUCAGGAGAUUCAAUGAGCUAGAAAAUACAGCUCUGAUCCAAUCAACUUUUAAAGGGCACACUUAUAUAACUAAAGAGCAACCCAAAAGAAAACACUGUCCAUUAGGAUAUUUGUGGCUGUAAUUAUUCAAUCUCCUAAGAGACAGGAAUACACAUACAGGUAAACCUCGAAGGCUUCCUAUGUAUUCCUCAUCCCAGAAAUCCAGAAACCACUAUUAAACUCUCUUUCUUGUAAGAUGCUUAUUCUUUUCAAAUAAAAAGGAACUUCAGUAUUUUCCACAAGAGUUCUUCCACACUAUGGUUACAAAAGUCCUUCUUCAUAAAUGGUAUCCGCUCAUACCCUAUGCCUAGGACCUGGAAUUCUCUACCUUGAAGAUACUAAACUUUCCAAAGAUGGUUUUUCUGACCAAAGAUUUUGAAUUGUGUCUUAGUCCUGGAUUCUUUUUUUUUUUUUUUUUUUUUUUAGUCCUGGAUUCUUAUAUUCAUAGUUUACAUGAGAAUAUCAACUGUAUAUAUUCAGAGAAGUAACUCUCUUUCUAUAUCUUUUGAAAGUAAAGAUUACAGGUCUCAGUACUUGCCAAACUAAUUUUGUAAAAUAAGAUGGCAUUAUUAGUCACCCUAAUUAUAUAAUUAUUACAUCAAUAUGACAUAUUACAUGUUAAUAUAAUUAAAUGUUUUAAAUGCAUUAAAAUAUUUAUUUCAUUAUUAAAUUAUAGAAAGCCCUAUAACUAGAGUUUUAAAAGAAAAAUGUCAAAUAUAUUACUAAGCAAAUGCUUUCCUAGGGUGCACAAUAUUUGGCUUCUUGAGGAUUCAUUAAUCAAGGAGUAACAUUUCUCUACAGUGGAGUCCAAUCAGAGAAGGGGUUCUUUGCUAGUUCUUGAUAUACAUUUCUUUGCUAUGCAUCUCCCCCAUGUGUCAAACAUGUAGGAAUAGGAGUAUCUUCAUCUAGAAGCUAAAGAACUGUACAAUGACUUGGUAAAUUCUAGGAUUUAAUGAUACAGCUAAUGAAGACUCCCUUACAUAUUCAAAAAUGGCAUAUGGGAAAAUAAUAAAGGGGUCUUUUUCACACUUUACAUCCAGGGCAAAGUGAAUCAGGGGUGUAUAGUAAUAUAUUUUCCCUCUUUAUCAUCCUAUACAAAGGGACAUGUAAGGCUACCUGGGCAUCAAUUUAUAUCUGCUUUAUUAUGAAAGUUAAUAUUCAGCAAUAGUAUAUGAAGAGAGCACUUCAUUAAACCUAGGCAUGUAAUUUGAACACAUGCUUAUUAACAACAUGCAGUUCCCUGAUUAAUCUGUAAUCUGUAGCAGGUUUGCUGCUACAGAUGGCAUUCUGUAACACACCUCUGUAUUUCUCUAAAAACAGCCUUUUAGGAAUAGAAUGUUUAUGUCUGUGUUAAGAAACAAAUAAUAGGGCAGCCCAGGUGGCUCAGAGGUUUAGCGCCACCUUCAGCCCAGGGCCUGACCCUGGAGACCCAGGGAGCCUGCUUCUCCCUCUGCUUGUGUCUCUCUCUGCCUCUCUCUCUCUCUCUGUGUCUCUCAUGAAUAAAUAAAUAAAAUCUAAAAAAAAGAAACAAAUAAUAUAGAUAUAUUCCCUUACUAAAACAAUUAUAAUUCAUUGAUUUUUAAAUUUAUUUAACUUCUUUAACUUCUUUAUAAGCAGUAUUUUGAAAAUGUUUCUUUAUCCUGCCUGUCUCAGCAUAAUUUCAAUGCUAAGACUUUUCAGUUUGCUUUCCUUGGAAUCAAAAAUUUCGGCUCUAGAUUGACCAAAAUUCAAGAUCUAGUCAAGAAACUAAAACUGACAAACAAGGAAAUCACAGCUCAGAAAGUAUGAGAAUUGAUCACUGUCAUGUAGCAAAGCUAGGGCUAGAACCCAUGGAAUCAUAGCUUCAGGCUUUUCUGUCAUAUACUAUUUAAGAAAAAAAAAAGAAAUAAACCAAAAAAAAAAACUAAAUUAAUACAAUUUUUGAACAGCAGAAGUGACUAAGUCAAUUCUAAAGUCUAAAAAAAAUAUGCCAUACCUUACAGUAUGAGAUUAGGAAAAAACCAUCACUCUGAAAUAAUUGUACCUCCAGGGAAACCUAUUUGCAUGCUACCAUCACUCUGACAUCACAGGAGUCAAAUUAAAUAGAUCAGCAAGUUAGCUAUCUUAUCUUGCACUUUUUUUUUUUUUUUUGCUGUUAUAUUUAGGUCAGAACAGAGCAAGUCCAAUCCUUUCUGCAACAAAUGGUGUCAUUGGGAAAUUAGGCAAUGUAAAUGCCAACAAAUGAGUUUUUAAAGCUGACAACACAAAGGCAAUUUCAACAUCCAUAUAUUUUUCCCCAAUAAAAACCCUGAAAAAAAGCAAUUGAGAAAUUUACAAAAUCCAUUAAUGAUAAUAGAGCAGUCUGGUUUCUCAAGGUCUUAUCAAGUCCAAAUCAGCUCCUAACUCUCUGUAUCUGCUCAGCUCUAAUCAGUGUUUUUCAUUUAAGAUGAAUGUGCAACUAAUGGAAGCAAUGUGAGCCCAUGAAUGGAUUUCUGUUCUAUGUCCCCUCAAUAUUUCUUCUUGAAAACACACGUACAAUACAUAAGCACCUACAUACUCCAUUAAAUCGCAAAGGAGGUGACAGGAAUUAUUUUACAUUAAUCCACACUGGAGGAAUUAGACGGCUCAAAGACAAAACAAAGAGUAUAUUGUUAUUUUUUAAUGUUGCUGAAAUACAAAUUUUCCUGUCUCCUGGGUAAAAGAUUAGCUAUGUGUUAAAAUAACAGAACUACCAUAUCUGACUGUGAUGAAUAAAACCAGGUACACAAGUUGGAAAUGAAAGACAAAAAUCUACUUUUCUGAAAACGUGUAAAAUAAGAGCAAUUUAAAUACAAAUAGCUUUGAAAAAGAUAAAAGAGCUUUGGGGGGCACCUGGGUGGCUCAGUGGUUGAGCUUCUGGCCUUUGGCUCAGAGGUGUGAAGCUGUGGUCUUGGGAUUGGUCCACAUUGGGCUCCCCACAGGGAGCCUGCUCCUCCCUCUGCCUUUAUCUCUGC
rnacentral:lncRNA from 1 species